rnacentral:rRNA from 1 species
CGAACGCUGGCGGCGUGCUUCAUACAUGCAAGUCGAACGAGAAGCUCUCUUCGGAGAGUGGAAAGUGGCGGACGGGUGAGUAAUAUGUAGAGAAUCUGCCCUUGAGCGGGGGACAACAGAGGGAAACUUCUGCUAAUACCCCAUAUGAGCUUAGUUGAAAUACUAAUCUUGAAAACUCCGGUGCUCAAGGAUGAGUCUGCAUCUGAUUAGCUAGUUGGUGGUGUAAUGGACUACCAAGGCGACGAUCAGUAGCUGGUUUGAGAGGAUGAUCAGCCACAAUGGGACUGAGACACGGCCCAUACUCCUACGGGAGGCAGCAGUAGGGAAUUUUGCGCAAUGGGCGAAAGCCUUGACGCAGCAACGCCGCGUGAACGAUUAAGCCCUUCGGGGUGUAAAGUUCUGUCAGUAGGGACGAAUUUUGACGGUACCUACAGAGGAAGCACCGGCUAACUCCGUGCCAGCAGCUGC